UCGAACGGGCUUCUUCGGAAGUCAGUGGCAGACGGGUGAGUAACACGUGGGAACGUGCCCUUCGGUUCGGAAUAACUCAGGGAAACUUGAGCUAAUACCGGAUACGCCCUUAUGGGGAAAGGUUUACUGCCGAAGGAUCGGCCCGCGUCUGAUUAGCUUGUUGGUGGGGUAACGCGCCUACCAAGGCGACGAUCAGUAGCUGGUCUGAGAGGAUGAUCAGCCACACUGGGACUGAGACACGGCCCAGACUCCUACGGGAGGCAGCAGAAGGG
rnacentral:rRNA from 1 species